rfam:Rhizoctonia solani AG-1 IA unplaced genomic scaffold scaffold3, whole genome shotgun sequence.
GGUCGCAUAGUCUAGUGGUUAUGAUAUCUGCUUUACAGAUUUAGGCUGUACGCAGAGGGUCUCAGGUUCGAUCCCUGAUGCGACCA